GAAAAUGCGUUGAAAAGGGGUAGUAGCUGCAUGGCAGAAUUCAGAGAGCUAUUGGAUGGUGUGAAAUAGUGGAUGGUAAGCAGUGAACUAGCCUUGGAGCAUCUUAAUCGAAGGCAGAAAUGUUGUGUAGGUGAAGACGGAGGCCCUCCGUUACAAGGGAUAGGCAUGUUAGUGCUGAUGAGUGCAUGACGGUUGUCAUGAAGUAGAGUGGUACCGCGUAAGAAAUUUACGUCUCUAUA
rnacentral:ncRNA from 1 species